rnacentral:lncRNA from 1 species
GCGGCACGGGCCGGCGCGAUGCGGAGAGCGGGCAGCUGCUGCUGGACCGCAGCCGACACCUGGACGUCAUCGAGGUGGGUGGGCGGCGGCGGCGGCGGGGUUGUGCCCGGUACUGUGGGGUGUGGGUGUGGAGGGUGGAGGGUGGGAUGCGGGGUGAGGCUGGGUGGGUGGGUGGGUGAUGUGGGGAGGGUCGAGGAGCUGGCAGAAGGGAAGGUCAGCGUGUGAGGGGUGGGUUUGCAUGCAGGCGGGUUAUAAUUGUGGGUUAUAGCUGAGGAGCGCGGGCGCAGAAGGUUUUGCAUACCGUAUGCGCGCACACGCGCUGGAUGGACUGUUGGGCCCACAAGACAUCACCCCACAAUGUCCACCCCCAUCACCCUCCUCAACCUCAACCUCAACCUCAACUUCAACAGGCCCUGCUGUUCCUGAACCGGCACCCGAGCUCCAACGCCGGCCUGCUGUGGGGUGACAAGGACACCUUCUGGCUGGCGGCGGCGCUGGUGGGCAAGGCGCACUGCUACAACCAGGUGGCCGUGCCGCCGUGUGAGUGCUGAUGAUUGGGGCUUGCAGCUCCAGAGAGCUUUGUUUUUGUUGUUAUAGUGGCAUCAGUAUGUUGAUGUUGCGUUAAGGCAGGUAAAAUAAAACCCUUUGUCGAUGGCUACUUGUGGACAACGCAAGCCACGCCACGCCACUCGGCAGCAGGAAAGCUGACUCCACACCACAACCCCCACAUUCCCACCUUGCUUCUUUUCAACAACCACCAGCCGGCAUGUUCCACUGGGCUCCCGACAUGUUGCUCAACAAGAUCACGAACACGAAAGGACCAGGCUGGCAGUUGGGCGGUUUCGUA